AUUGAACGCUGGCGGCAGGCCUAACACAUGCAAGUCGAGCGGAUGAAGGGGGCUUGCUCCUGGAUUCCGCGGCGGACGGGUGAGUAAUGCCUAGGAAUCUGCCUGGUAGUGGGGGAUAACGUCCGGAAACGGGCGCUAAUACCGCAUACGUCCUGAGGGUGAAAGAGGGGGAUCUUCGGACCUCAUGCUCUCAGAUGAGCCUAGGUCGGAUUAGCUAGUUGGUGGGGUAAGGGCCUACCAAGCCGACGAUCCGUAACUGGUCUGAGAGGAUGAUCAGUCACACUGGAACUGAGACACGGUCCAGACUCCUACGGGAGGCAGCAGUGGGGAAUAGUGGACAAUGGGCGAAAGCCUGAUCCAGCCAUGCCGCGUGUGUGAAGAAGGUCUUCGGAUUGUAAAGCACUUUAAGUUGGGAGGAAGGGCAGUAAGUUAAGACCUUGCUGGUUUGACGUUACCAACAGAAGAAGCACCGGCUAACUACGUG
rnacentral:rRNA from 1 species